GCCUAGGGAAAACUAUGCUAUCGAACGAAUACAUCGAUAGGUCGUGUGGAGAACCAAAGCGUUUAGGAUCUUUGGUAGUGUUAACUCUGUCGCGUGGAGCGUGGGCAGAGGGGAGUCUGGCUGGAGUAGUGCAGUGGAGCAGGUGUGUUGUGUGACGCUCCCGCGAGUUGCCGCGCUUUCGGGAUUUGGCAGCAUGUAAUUGCGCUCGAAUUGCUAUGAUAGUUUCUGACAUGGUGUCGCGGACGGGAAGCAUUAGCUGGCGCACAUCAAGAGCCCGUUGCGCCUGGUGACCAUGUCGAGAAGAAGGCGCACCAACAUCCAGCUUCUGCAACAGCGACGGCCGACAAUGAGUGACUGUCGUCACCUGCUCGACCGACGACUGCAAACCUUCAAUCAACCAACAAGGAAGACUGUAAGCACGUAAAGUGUUAGAACUCUAUGGCAGACCUCAGCUUUUAAAAUUGUUGCAUCACAAAAUUACAGCAACUUAGCAUGAA